rnacentral:rRNA from 1 species
GACGAACGCUGGCGGCGCGCUUAACACAUGCAAGUCGAGCGAUGAAACUUUAACAGAACCCUUCGGGGCGAAGAUAAGGUGGAUUAGCGGCGGGCGGGUGAGUAACACGUGAGUAACCUGCCUUAGACAUUGGGAUAGCCUCGGGAAACCGGGAUUAAUACCAAAUAAAAUCAUAAUGACACAUGUCAUAACGAUCAAAACUCCGGUGGUCUAAGAUGGACUCGCGUCCCAUUAGCUAGUUGGUAGAGUAAAAGCCUACCAAGGCGACGAUGGGUAGCCGGCCUGAGAGGGUGAACGGCCACAUUGGAACUGAGAAACGGUCCAAACUCCUACGGGAGGCAGCAGUGGGGAAUAUUGCACAAUGGAGGGAACUCUGAUGCAGCGACGCCGCGUGAACGAAGAAGGCUUUCGAGUCGUAAAGUUCUUUUAUAUGGGAAGAUAAUGACGGUACCAUAAGAAAAAGCCCCGGCUAACUACGUG